AAUUGAAAAAUUCUUUCUAAUGCCCUUUUCAGGAUGCCCCUUUUCAACUUUACACUUUUGUUUUAUCCAUUUUCAUUUGUACCCUCUUUAAAUUUUUAAUGACCAUUUUACUCCUAUUUGAAAAUUGUUUUAGGUUAACAAAAUGAUAUACUAAUACUUUUUCGCCUAAAAUAUUCCAAACAAAAUAUCCCGCCAAAAUUUUCCCGCCAAAAAGUUUCGAAAAAAAUUUCCCGCCAAAAUUGUUUUUUUCAAAAA
rnacentral:sRNA from 1 species